UACGAAGGGGGCUAGCGUUGCUCGGAAUUACUGGGCGCAAAGCGCACGUAGGCGGCUCUUUAAGUCGGGGGUGAAAUCCUGGAGCUCAACUCCAGAACUGCCUUCGAUACUGGAGAGCUUGAGUCCGGGAGAGGUGAGUGGAACUGCGAGUGUAGAGGUGAAAUUCGUAGAUAUUCGCAAGAACACCAGUGGCGAAGGCGGCUCACUGGCCCGGUACUGACGCUGAGGUGCGAAAGCGUGGGGAGCAAACAGG
rnacentral:rRNA from 1 species